rnacentral:rRNA from 1 species
GACGAACGCUGGCGGCGUGCUUAACACAUGCAAGUCGAACGGAAAGGCCCUGCUUUUGUGGGGUGCUCGAGUGGCGAACGGGUGAGUAACACGUGAGUAACCUGCCCUUGACUUUGGGAUAACUUCAGGAAACUGGGGCUAAUACCGGAUAGGAGCUCCUGCUGCAUGGUGGGGGUUGGAAAGUUUCGGCGGUUGGGGAUGGACUCGCGGCUUAUCAGCUUGUUGGUGGGGUAGUGGCUUACCAAGGCUUUGACGGGUAGCCGGCCUGAGAGGGUGACCGGCCACAUUGGGACUGAGAUACGGCCCAGACUCCUACGGGAGGCAGCAGUGAGGAAUAUUGCACAAUGGGCGGAAGCCUGAUGCAGCAACGCCGCGUGCGGGAUGAAGGCCUUCGGGUUGUAAACCGCUUUCGCCUGUGACGAAGCGUGAGUGACGGUAAUGGGUAAAGAAGCACCGGCUAACUACGUG